rnacentral:rRNA from 1 species
UGCAGUCGAACGGUAACAGGAAGCAGCUUGCUGCUUCGCUGACGAGUGGCGGACGGGUGAGUAAUGUCUGGGAAACUGCCUGAUGGAGGGGGAUAACUACUGGAAACGGUAGCUAAUACCGCAUAACGUCGCAAGACCAAAGAGGGGGACCUUCGGGCCUCUUGCCAUCGGAUGUGCCCAGAUGGGAUUAGCUAGUAGGUGGGGUAACGGCUCACCUAGGCGACGAUCCCUAGCUGGUCUGAGAGGAUGACCAGCCACACUGGAACUGAGACACGGUCCAGACUCCUACGGGAGGCAGCAGUGGGGAAUAUUGCACAAUGGGCGCAAGCCUGAUGCAGCCAUGCCGCGUGUAUGAAGAAGGCCUUCGGGUUGUAAAGUACUUUCAGCGGGGAGGAAGGUGUUGAGGUUAAUAACCUCAGCAAUUGACGUUACCCGCAGAAGAAGCACCGGCUAACUCCGUGCCAGCAGCCGCGGUAAUACGGAGGGUGCAAGCGUUAAUCGGAAUUACUGGGCGUAAAGCGCACGCAGGCGGUCUGUCAAGUCGGAUGUGAAAUCCCCGGGCUCAACCUGGGAACUGCAUUCGAAACUGGCAGGCUAGAGUCUUGUAGAGGGGGGGUAGAAUUCCAGGUGUAGCGGUGAAAUGCGUAGAGAUCUG